GUGACCUCAAAUCAGGUAGGACUACCCGCUGAACUUAAGCAUAUCAAUAAGCGGAGGAAAAGAAACUAACAAGGAUUCCCCUAGUAACUGCGAGUGAAGCGGGAAAAGCUCAAAUUUAAAAUCUGGCGGUCUUUUGGUCGUCCGAGUUGUAAUCUAGAGAAGUGUUAUCCGCGCUGGACCAUGUACAAGUCUCCUGGAAUGGAGCGUCAUAGAGGGUGAGAAUCCCGUCUUUGACAUGGACUGCCAGGGCUUUGUGAUGCGCUCUCAAAGAGUCGAGUUGUUUGGGAAUGCAGCUCAAAAUGGGUGGUAAAUUCCAUCUAAAGCUAAAUAUUGGCGAGAGACCGAUAGCGAACAAGUACCGUGAGGGAAAGAUGAAAAGAACUUUGGAAAGAGAGUUAAACAGUACGUGAAAUUGCUGAAAGGGAAACGCUUGAAGUCAGUCACGUUGACCAGGGAUCAACCCAGCUUUUGCUUGGUGCACUUCCUGGUUUGACGGGUCAGCAUCAGUUUUGACCAUUGGAAAAAGAUGAAGGGAAUGUGGCAUCUUCGGAUGUGUUUAUAGCCCUUGGUCACAUACAGUGGUUGGGAUUGAGGAACUCGGCAUGCCGCAAGGAUGUGC
rnacentral:rRNA from 1 species